rnacentral:rRNA from 1 species
GUGCCAGACUCCUACGGGAGGCAGCAGUGGGGGAUAUUGCACAAUGGGGGAAACCCUGAUGCAGCGACGCCGCGUGGGUGAAGAGGUAUUUCGGUAUGUAAAGCCCUAUCAGCAGGGAAGAAAGAAGACGGUACCUGACUAAGAAGCCCCGGCUAACUACGUGCCAGCAGCCGCGGUAAUACGUAGGGGGCGAGCGUUAUCCGGAUUCACUGGGUGUAAAGGGAGCGUAGACGGCCGUGCAAGCCAGGAGUGAAAGCCCGGGGCCCAACCCCGGGACUGCUCUUGGAACUGUGCGGCUAGAGUGCGGGAGGGGCAGGCGGAAUUCCUGGUGUAGCGGUGAAAUGCGUAGAUAUCAGGAGGAACACCGGCGGCGAAGGCGGCCUGCUGGACCGCGACUGACGUUGAGGCUCGAAAGCGUGGGGAGCGAACAGGAUUAGAUACCCGUGUA